rnacentral:rRNA from 1 species
GACGAACGCUGGCGGCGUGCCUAAUACAUGCAAGUAGAACGCUGAAGCGAGGAGCUUCCUCUUCUUGGAUGAGUUGCGAACGGGUGAGUAACGCGUAGGUAACCUGCCUUGUAGCGGGGGAUAACUAUUGGAAACGAUAGCUAAUACCGCAUAACAAUGGAUGACACAUGUCAUUUAUUUGAAAGGGGCAAUUGCUCCACUACAAGAUGGACCUGCGUUGUAUUAGCUAGUAGGUGAGGUAAUGGCUCACCUAGGCGACGAUACAUAGCCGACCUGAGAGGGUGAUCGGCCACACUGGGACUGAGACACGGCCCAGACGCCUACGGGAGGCAGCAGUAGGGAAUCUUCGGCAAUGGGGGCAACCCUGACCGAGCAACGCCGCGUGAGUGAAGAAGGGUUUCGGAUCGUAAAGCUCUGUUGUAAGUCAAGAACGGGUGUGAGAGUGGAAAGUUCACACUGUGACGGUAGCUUACCAGAAAGGGACGGCUAACUACGUG